CAAAGUGUAGCUUAGCCCAAAGCAUCUGGCUUACACCCAGAAGAUUCCGCAUAUAACGGACACUCUGA
rnacentral:tRNA from 1 species